rnacentral:rRNA from 1 species
GAUAAACGCUGGCGGCGUGCCUUACGCAUGCAAGUCGAACGCACCUUCGGGUGAGUGGCGGACGGGUGAGUAACACGUACGUGAUCUGUCCCGAACUGGGGGAGUAACCGCCCGAAACGGGUAGGCUAAUACCGCAUGUGGUCCCCGGUUUCGUCGAGCCGGGGAGGUAAAGUUACCGGCGGUUCGGGAGGAGCGUGCGGCCGAUUAGCUAGUUGGUGGGGUACGAGCCUACCAAGGCGACGAUCGGUAGCUGGUCUGAGAGGACGGCCAGCCACACGGGGA